UACGGAGGGGGCUAGCGUUGUUCGGAAUUACUGGGCGUAAAGCGCGCGUAGGCGGACCUGCAAGUCGGGGGUGAAAGCCCGAGGCUCAACCUCGGAACUGCCUUCGAUACUGCGGGUCUCGAGUCCGGGAGAGGUGAGUGGAAUUCCUAGUGUAGAGGUGAAAUUCGUAGAUAUUAGGAAGAACACCAGUGGCGAAGGCGGCUCACUGGCCCGGUACUGACGCUGACGGCGCGAAAGCG
rnacentral:rRNA from 1 species